rnacentral:tRNA from 3 species
UAGGUGCCGGGGCUUCUCCCGUUU